AUUGAACGCUGGCGGCAUGCCUUACACAUGCAAGUCGAACGGCAGCACGGGAGCAAUCCUGGUGGCGAGUGGCGAACGGGUGAGUAAUGUAUCGGAACGUGCCCAGUCGUGGGGGAUAACGUAGCGAAAGCUACGCUAAUACCGCAUACGAUCUGUGGAUGAAAGCGGGGGACCGUAAGGCCUCGCGCGAUUGGAGCGGCCGAUAUCAGAUUAGGUAGUUGGUGGGGUAAAGGCCUACCAAGCCGACGAUCUGUAGCUGGUCUGAGAGGACGACCAGCCACACUGGGACUGAGACACGGCCCAGACUCCUACGGGAGGCAGCAGUGGGGAAUUUUGGACAAUGGGCGCAAGCCUGAUCCAGCAAUGCCGCGUGCAGGAAGGAGGCCUUCGGGUUGUAAACUGCUUUUGUACGGAACGAAACGACUCUGGUUAAUACCUGGGGCUAAUGACGGUACCGUAAGAAUAAGCACCGGCUAACUACGUGCCAGCCGCCGCAGUAAUAC
rnacentral:rRNA from 1 species